AACAGUGUCAACAGUACAGCUUUUUUCCCUUCGAUAGGUUCUUCCGAUUUUCCCACAAUCAGUUUCCAGCGUUUCCAGACAGUGGUUUCGGAAAGUGUUUGGCUGCGGGUGGUUCGGUGGAAAACAGCAAAGGUGGGGUGUUUUCGUGUUUUCUUGUGUAGCAAAUUUUCCUGCCUUCAACGAAAUUCGCACAAUCGCUGGCUGCGCAAAAUGUUUUAAUCAAAAAGUUGAGUAAGCGGAUGAUUCGGAAAGGGUGCAAGUGCAGCUUCUCAACGCAUGACUGAAUCGGCUGAAAGACCUACUGAGUACUACCUACUGGCUUAAUUAGAUAGUCUGUGCCAAAUCAGACAAACAAAACCAAGAGCAACACAACGACGCAACAUCGAACAACGACGCAAAGCCGCUCAGCUUAGUGCGGCAGCUUAUCGCUGUCGGGUGCAGUUUUGCGCGCAACACGGUACGGAAAGAAUAAAUCGUAGUAUUAGCGUGAAAGUCAAUACCCCGUGCGGCAGUAUGAGCGGAGGAGCCCUCAAAACCGACCCCAGGGGAUGCAUUUUUCCGUUGCUGUAUUCGUUGGGAUCGUUUGGAUUGGCCUGUGCCAGCUUAUGGGAGCUGAAACCCUCCGAUCGGAUCUCGGUACAACGUGGCGCGUUGCUGAUCAGCUUGGGUUUCGUCUAUUUCAUUGCAUUGACCGAGUUCCUGAACAAGCUGAUUUUGCGUACUACCCUUGGGCUGAGUUUCGUCAAAAAGUAUAGACUGCGAAUUUCCGAUGUAUUGGAUAUAACAAACAAGAUUGUAUCAGCCAUCCAGGCAACGUUUUCCUGCCUCGCGGGUUUCAUCGUGUGUCGGUGGUCGUGUCCGUUGAACUUUCUGCAGGCGUCGCACUUCUUAUCGGAAUCAUAUGCCUGGUUUGCAGCAUCGUAUUUCUUCUAUGACCUUUGGUCAAUGUACAAAGUGUACGCGGCGGAAGCGUCCAAUCGCAUCAUGGCUACGCUCGGGUUGGCCCCAGCCAAUGAUGGUCCAGCGAGAAAUGGCAAACCAAGCAACGGAACGGACGCUUCGGAAGAGAAGCCUAUCGAAGCCCUGAGUGACAUUCCGAGCAUAAGCAAUGGAACUUUGAGCAUUUUAUCGGCCGGCAAGUUGGGAAUUCCCAGUUUUGUCCGCUAUUUGAUCUCUCACAAGCUAAUGGUAUUCCAUCACUUAUUCAUUGGGUCGUACGGUUUGGUAGUUAUUGUGUAUCUUCGAGGAGGUUUGGGAGAUUGUGUGUUCAGUUUCAUGUACAUGAUGGAGCUUUCGACUCCGUUCGUAUCAUUCCGCGGCAUUCUGAGUACUAUGGGACUGAAGGAGAGCAAAAUGUACGUCGUCAACGGAUUGCUUAUGGUGUUUUCGUUUUUCUGGUGCAGAGUAUUCCUGAUGCCGUAUGUCUGCUAUUACUAUAGCCAAGUUGUGAAUCUACCAUUCUUCACGGCACUAUGGCGGCUCCCGCGAGGCUGCAAGAUUAGUAUACUGGCACUGUUCCUGCCACAGCUUUACUGGUUCCGAUUAAUGCUGAGAGGAGCUAUCAAGGUUUUUUCCAAAAACAAGAAAUCAUCCGGAGGAAGAAAUGCAGUACAGAAUGGUGCAGCAGCCAAUGGUCUGAAACCGUCGCAAUCGAAAGACAGUGAGAUAAGGUCGUUAAUGUAAGGCGAAAACUAUCACUUUUUAUUUCUCACUGUUCAUUGUAAAGUUAACCAUGCUGGUUUUAUCAAGCUUCCCUCUCAUCUAAGAUCUAACUAGUCAUAGAUGUAAAAGGCACAUUUGCAUCUAAUUUUCACGUAUACAAAAAUGUGCACACUAAAAGGCUAAUGGGUAUGAACCAGGAAAUUCCAGUUUGUUCUAAGAGCUGGAUAUCAUCAUCAGUGCAACUAGCGUACUAAAAGAGCAAGAAUGAUAGUUUUUAUCAUUUGUUUGCUGGAACUUAUACAAUGCAAUAGAUGAUAGAUUUCGUACAGCCAGUAUAUUAAUUAAAUUAGAACAAACAUUUAAUUAAAUCUUGGGUAACAGCA